UCCGGUUUGUCACCGGCAGUCUCACUAGAGUGCUCUUGCGUAGCAACUAGUGACAAGGGUUGCGCUCGUUGCGGGACUUAACCCAACAUCUCACGACACGAGCUGACGACAGCCAUGCAGCACCUGUGUUCCGGUUCCCUUGCGGGCACAAUCCUAUCUCUAAGAUCUUCCAGACAUGUCAAGCGUAGGUAAGGUUUUUCGCGUUGCAUCGAAUUAAUCCACAUCAUCCACCGCUUGUGCGGGUCCCCGUCAAUUCCUUUGAGUUUUAAUCUUGCGACCGUACUCCCCAGGCGGUCAACUUCACGCGUUAGCUGCGCUACUAAGGCCUAUUGACCCCAACAGCUAGUUGACAUCGUUUAGGGCGUGGACUAC
rnacentral:misc_RNA from 1 species